AGGUAAGUAACAUACUUGUCAUUAAGAUAGUAUAACUACUUAGUUUUUUUCUAAAGACAGUCACAAGAAACAGAAACUAAAUAAAUAAGAUUUUUUUUUCUAAGUACUGAGGUUUUUUAUAUACUAACCAAAUCAUGCAAACUAAUUUACCUAUACAGCAACAGUAUAGUAUAAACUAUAUGUGAUAAAGAGUAAUUUCUUGGAAAAAAAUCAUUUCAACAGAUUUUUAAAAAAGAAGAUAACAUGUAGCAGAUACUUUAAAAGUACACAAAAUAUUAAGUUACUUUUUCAUGUAUUGCACAAAGUACAAAUAUAUACUAGAGAACUCUUAGUGCUUAGAAACAAUUGUACAAUCAAAAGUACUGAUAUUUGCACAAAAUAUAUUACAGAAUGCAUAGUGUUUUAAAAACAAUUGUACACCAAAAAGUUCUGAUUUAUAAAUAUUUUUAUUUUCUUUACCAAACCGAUCAACAGUCUUAUACAGCAGAUUGGUUAUAGAGUAUUUUUCAAAAAAUAUUUUGUUGAAUUUAAUUUCAUUUCAUAUGAUGUUGCAGACAUUUAAACAUAAAAUAUUUCUUUAAAAAAAGAUAAAAUACAUAACUACUUAUUGGGGUUUUAACAAGGGAGACCAUUUCGUUUCUUGUAAUGCAAAUACAUCAUGGAAAAUAAACAUUUUAUCUCAUACUGUAAUUUAUUUUACAAUUUGAACAAAAUAUUAAUAAACUUAACAAACAAACAAACAAAGAAAUCUAAACAAUAUUUCCAUUCAAUGGAAUGUAAAAUCAAAAAUGAAUUACAAAAUUACAGGAAUGACUGCUAGAACCAGAUACAAAUUUAGAAUAUCCCAGAUAGAUUUGAUGAUGACAUUACAAAAGUAACAAUUAAUCUUCAAAGAUUUAACAAAUACGGCAAUAUCAAAUAAAUGCAUGUUUGUGACAAAAAUUGUUAAAAAAAGAUGAACAACUGGGAAAGAUUAUCAACGUAACUUCUUGUGGUCCCUCUGUAAAUAUGAUGCAUUGAUUACAUUGUUUAAGUUCAUAAAAUAUUUAUUUGCAUUCAUGAAUGACAAAAAAAGUGAAAACUAUACAAAUAAAUAUUUUAUAAACACUAAGAAAGUGCUAGUUGAAUUCAUGUUAGUGGCAUUAAGCUGUUUUUCAAAAUAUUGCUAAAUAUAAGGAGGUCUAAAAUAUAUAACCAUAUACACUUAAGCAUAAACAUUUUGUUGCAAUUGAUAAUAUUUGAAAUAAAUAAACAAAGAUGUCAGAUUUUAUGAGACUAAAAAAACAAAUGCAUGUAUUGUAUAGCCUAUUCAAUAGCGAUUUAAGCAUUUACAUUUAUUAUUGAUAACCAAUCAAAUCAUGGAACACAAAGAAUGACUACAGUAUUUUCCAUAAGUAAUAAAAACAACUCAUAAUUCAACUAUUUAUCCAAUUUCAUACUAAUUAUACACUAAAAUUAUGCUGAACUCAAUAACUAAUUUAUAAUAUAUGCUAAAACUUUAUAUAUUAUAUACAAGCAUGUAAUACUGGUUUAUUAUCCUGAAAUAUAUACAUAUUUUUGGUUAAAUGAAAAAUUUACUUAAUUCUUUAUAAAUAAUUAGUUAGAGAUGAUCUAUUUCAACUUUUUUGUUUCAGAAUGUUGUUGAAUGCUUUUUUUCUCUCACCAAACUUUGUUAAAAUGAUAUUUUUUAAAGUUGGCAAUUUUUAUUCAUACUCCGUAUACAGCCAUCAUUGGAACCAGCAUAUGGCUGUAGCCAGUUUAAAAUAAAAAUAAAUUUUAUGCUUCAGUUUAAAUUGCAUAUGAUACCUUUAUGGCAUUGAUUGGCACAAUCUAAUUUUUUGAUAAGCAGUUCUUCUAACAAACGAACUGUUAAUGAUUUUUUUUCAUAUUGAAAUUGAAUGAUUAAGCACUGAAAGCCCCAAAAUUGCUGCACAUCUAUUUCAAAUUAAACUCAAAUUAGUGAUAAUUAGAUCAUAAAACCAUGACAAAGAUACAUAGCACAGUGCAUGUAAACAAAAGUUUGAGAGACAAUUAUCUAAAACAUUUGCAAAAAUUUACAAUUAAACUUGAGCAACUGACUGGUGGGAAAAUAAUAAAUACUAGAAAAUAAAUUGCAUAACUGUGUUCUUCUAAACUUUUGCAAGCUGAUCCAGAAGCCAUUCUUCUGUUAAUUCUUCUACACUUCUUAUAUCAUAAGUCUGAAAUAAAUAUUAUAACUAGAAAGUUAUUGAUGUUGAAAACAUUAAGCUUAAGUUAAGGGUAUUGUAUUUGAAGGUUGG
rnacentral:lncRNA from 1 species